rfam:Stegodyphus mimosarum contig85565, whole genome shotgun sequence.
GCCUUCAUGGCGCAGGGGUCAGCAUGCUCGACGCGUAACCGAGAGGUUCGUGGUUCGAUUCCCGGCGAAGGCG